rnacentral:rRNA from 1 species
AUACGGAGGGUGCAAGCGUUAUCCGGAAUCAUUGGGUUUAAAGGGUCCGUAGGCGGGAAUCUAAGUCAGUGGUGAAAUCUUGCAGCUCAACUGUAAAAUUGCCAUUGAUACUGGAUUUCUUGAAUUAGUGUGAAGUGGUUAGAAUGUGUAGUGUAGCGGUGAAAUGCAUAGAUAUUACACAGAAUACCAAUUGCGAAGGCAGAUCACUAACACUAUAUUGACGCUAAGGGACGAAAGCGUGGGGAGCGAACAGGAUUAGAAACCCGGGUAGUCC